AUUGAACGCUGGCGGCAUGCUUUACACAUGCAAGUCGAACGGUAACAGGGUGCUUGCACCGCUGACAAGUGGCGAACGGGUGAGUAAUGCGUCGGAACGCACCGAGUAAUGGGGGAUAACGCAGCGAAAGCUGUGCUAAUACCGCAUACGCUCUGAGGAGGAAAGCGGGGGACCUUCGGGCCUCGCGUUAUUCGAGCGGCCGACGUCUGAUUAGCUAGUAGGUGAGGUAAGAGCUCACCUAGGCGACGAUCAGUAGCGGGUCUGAGAGGAUGAUCCGCCACACUGGGACUGAGACACGGCUCAGACUCCUACGGGAGGCAGCAGUGGGGAAUUUUGGACAAUGGGCGCAAGCCUGAUCCAGCCAUGCCGCGUGUCUGAAGAAGGCCUUCGGGUUGUAAAGGACUUUUGUCAGGGAGGAAAUCCUUAGCGCUAAUACCGUUGAGGGAUGACAGUACCUGAAGAAUAAGCACCGGCUAACUACGUGCCAGCCGCCGCGGUAAAAC
rnacentral:rRNA from 1 species